rnacentral:rRNA from 1 species
CUCAGAUCACGUAAUUUUUAAAAAGUCGAACAGACUUAAAUUUUUAACUUCUUCACCAAAAAUAAAAAUUAAUUCAACAUCGAGGUCAUAAACAUAGUUAUUAAUAAGAACUUGUUAACUAAAUAAUGCUGUUAUCCCUAGAGUAACUUCUUAUUAUAUUAUUUAUUGCUACUAAAAAUUUUACUCUUCACCUAAAUUGCCCCAAUCUAAAAAUAUUAAAUUUUUAAGCUUCUAGGGUCUUCUCGUCCCAAGGAGUAAUAAAAGCAUUUUUACUUUUAAUUUAAAUUCAAAAUUAUUUUAUAAAACUCUCUUUUUAGUAGCUACCCUUCAUUCCAGUUUCCAAUUAAAAAA